GACGAACGCUGGCGGCGUGCUUAACACAUGCAAGUCGAACGAAGAGCGAUGGAAGCUUGCUUCUCUCAAUCUUAGUGGCGAACGGGUGAGUAACGCGUAAUCAACCUGCCCUUCAGAGGGGGACAACAGUUGGAAACGACUGCUAAUACCGCAUACGAUCUAAUCUCGGCAUCGAGGAUAGAUGAAAGGUGGCCUCUACAUGUAAGCUAUCACUGAAGGAGGGGAUUGCGUCUGAUUAGCUAGUUGGAGGGGUAACGGCCCACCAAGGCGAUGAUCAGUAGCCGGUCUGAGAGGAUGAACGGCCACAUUGGGACUGGGACACGGCCCAGACUCCUACGGGAGGCAGCAGUGGGGAAUCUUCCGCAAUGGACGAAAGUCUGACGGAGCAACGCCGCGUGAGUGAUGACGGCCUUCGGGUUGUAAAGCUCUGUUAAUCGGGACGAAAGGCCUUCUUGCGAAUAGUGAGAAGGAUUGACGGUACCGGAAUAGAAAGCCACGGCUAACUACGUG
rnacentral:rRNA from 1 species